UACAGAGGGCUCAAGCGUUGUUCGGAUUCGUUGGGCGUAAAGGGUGCGUAGGCGGCGCGGUAAGUCGGGUGUGAAAUCUCGGGGCUUAACUCCGAAACUGCAUUCGAUACUGCGGUGCUUGAGGACUGGAGAGGAGACUGGAAUUCAUGGUGUAGCAGUGAAAUGCGUAGAGAUCAUGAGGAAGACCAGUGGCGAAGGCGGGUCUCUGGACAGUUCCUGACACUGAGACACGAAGGCCAGGGGAGCAAACGGG
rnacentral:rRNA from 1 species